rnacentral:rRNA from 1 species
UUCGGUUCGUAAAGCUCUGUCCUCCCGGACGAUAUGACGGUACUUGAGGAGGAAGCCCCGGCUAACUUCGGGCCAGCAGCCGCGGUUUUACGUUUGGGUUGAAAUUAUCUGGAAUUACUGUUCGUAAAGGGAGCGUAGGUGGUUCUUACCUCUUAGGUGAAGGCUACGGCUCAACCGUAAUAAGCCUUUGAAACUGGGAAACUUGAAGGCAGGAAAAGAAAAAGGAAAUUCUUUUGUAACCGGGAAAUGCGUAAAUAUUAAGAGGAAAAACCGGUGCCAAGGGGGCUCUCUUGGCUGGUACUUACCCUUAGGG